GGGACUUUAAAGAAUCUUCAGUGCUCUCUUCGGAAUGAUACAGAGAUUAACAUGGCCCCUGCGCAAGGAUGGCACACAAAUUCGUGAAGUGUUCCAUAUUUUU
ensembl:snRNA U6 U6 spliceosomal RNA